GACGCAUUUCAUGGUGGUGGAAAGCUUUUGUGGUNNNGGAUGGACUCGCGGCCUAUCAGCUUGUUGGUGGGGUAAUGGCCUACCAAGGCGACGACGGGUAGCCGGCCUGAGAGGGUGACCGGCCACACUGNNNCUGAGACACGGCCCAGACUCCUACGGGAGGCAGCAGUGGGGAAUAUUGCACAAUGGGCGGAAGCCUGAUGCAGCGACGCCGCGUGAGGGAUGACGGCCUUCGGGUUGUAAACCUCUUUCAGUAGGGAAGAAGCGAAAGUGACGGUACCUGCAGAAGAAGCGCCGGCUAACUACGUGCCAGCAGCCGCGGUAAUACGUAGGGCGCAAGCGUUAUCCGGAAUUAUUGGGCGUAAAGAGCUCGUAGGCGGUUUGUCGCGUCUGCUGUGAAAGACCGGGGCUCAACUCCGGUUCUGCAGUGGGUACGGGCAGACUAGAGUGCAGUAGGGGAGACUGGAAUUCCUGGUGUAGCGGUGAAAUGCGCAGAUAUCAGGAGGAACACCGAUGGCGAAGGCAGGUCUCUGGGCUGUAACUGACGCUGAGGAGCGAAAGCAUGGGGAGCGAACAGGAUUAGAUACCCUGGUAGUCCAUGCCGUAAACGUUGGGCACUAGGUGUGGGGGACAUUCCACGUUUUCCGCGCCGUAGCUAACGCAUUAAGUGCCCCGCCUGGGGAGUACGGCCGCAAGGCUAAAACUCAAAGGAAUUGACGGGGGCCCGCACAAGCGGCGGAGCAUGCGGAUUAAUUCGAUGCAACGCGAAGAACCUUACCAAGGCUUGACAUGAACCGGAAAGACCUGGAAACAGGUGCCCCGCUUGCGGUCGGUUUACAGGUGGUGCAUGGUUGUCGUCAGCUCGUGUCGUGAGAUGUUGGGUUAAGUCCCGCAACGAGCGCAACCCUCGUUCUAUGUUGCCAGCGCGUUAUGGCGGGGACUCAUAGGAGACUGCCGGGGUCAACUCGGAGGAAGGUGGGGACGACGUCAAAUCAUCAUGCCCCUUAUGUCUUGGGCUUCACGCAUGCUACAAUGGCCGGUACAAAGGGUUGCGAUACUGUGAGGUGGAGCUAAUCCCAAAAAGCCGGUCUCAGUUCGGAUUGGGGUCUGCAACUCGACCCNNNGAAGUCGGAGUCGCUAGAAUCGC
rnacentral:rRNA from 1 species